AUUGAACGCUGGCGGCAGGCCUAACACAUGCAAGUCGAGCGGAUGAAGGGAGCUUGCUCCUGGAUUCAGCGGCGGACGGGUGAGUAAUGCCUAGGAAUCUGCCUGGUAGUGGGGGAUAACGUCCGGAAACGGGCGCUAAUACCGCAUACGUCCUGAGGGAGCAAGUGGGGGAUCUUCGGACCUCACGCUAUCAGAUGAGCCUAGGUCGGAUUAGCUAGUUGGUGGGGUAAAGGCCUACCAAGGCGACGAUCCGUAACUGGUCUGAGAGGAUGAUCAGUCACACUGGAGCUGAGACACGGUCCAGACUCCUACGGGAGGCAGCAGUGGGGAAUAUUGGACAAUGGGCGAAAGCCUGAUCCAGCCAUGCCGCGUGUGUGAAGAAGGUCUUCGGAUUGUAAAGCACUUUAAGUUGGGAGGAAGGGCAGUAAGUUAAUACCUUGCUGUUUUGACGUUACCAGCAGAAUAAGCACCGGCUAACUUCGUG
rnacentral:rRNA from 1 species